GUCAGUAGGUGACCUGCGGANGGAUCAUUA
rnacentral:rRNA from 1 species